CAACUUUCAACAACGGAUCUCUUGGCUCUCGCAUCGAUGAAGAACGCAGCGAAAUGCGAUAAGUAAUGUG
rnacentral:rRNA from 1 species